CCCCCCCCCCGAGCAGACAGACUUACUGAACCUGCUGCAUGAGCAGCCUGCUGUCCAGCUAUUUUCCGUUUAGGAUCAAGAUGAGACAACCCACGAAAACUCCACAAGACAGAGCACCGAUACGUGCUUUUGUUGGUAUGUCUGCUCUCCCAGAGGAGUCCAGAUGUGAGGCACUGGAAGGGACUGGAGGGAUCUUAAUGGCUCCAAGUGUAUCUAUCUGAGACCAGAGAGGAAGAGAGUAUGCUUCUUUCCCACAUCAACGGGACCGAAAGGUUGAACUUCUUCAGCUCCUUUAGGACGGACAUCCUCUUGGCUAACAAUUACGCUGCUCCCACUUGAGACCCACAGCAUCGAUGAGGGAGUCCCACGGGGUUAAUAGGGGCGUUCACUUAAAAAAACAUUCAAAGAACCGUGUAGAUGCUGGCGCGCAAAAACAAAGGUGUUUUAAUUCUGCUAGAAGUGGAUAAAUAAAUGAUUUUGAAUUGUAGUCUUCUUCCAGCGUCUCUGUAGACCAGCAGUUAUUAUUUCUGACAGAAGAGAAUCCUUCAAUGAACUUAUUCACUUGGAUUACAUCUCAUGCUUGUAUGGUAGUUGAGUAGUGUGCUUGUUAUUUUUGGCCUUGUUUAAUCCCAAUGGGGAAGAUUGUUGCAUAGGGUCAGUAAAAAACAUAUUAAACUGUAUCAAAACAAAUUAGUUUGAUAAAUGAAAUUUCAUAUUUCAUAUCGUUUGGGGUGUUGAAUGUCCAUUACCAAUAAAAGGGUCCCGAGGACAAAAAAAGUUCCUUAACCAAAAAACUUCCAGUCGACUUCCCAGGCUUUUCCUUGUUCUGGGCUCCUCCAUGUAGGGCCGGUUCCCAGUCUGCUGUUCGCUUUUCCUUCCAGCCAGGUGUUGGUCCCCAGCCCGGCCUCAAUUGGGUGCCUUAAACACCUACAGCUGUGGGAUUGUUGAGGCCUUCUGGGAAAUGCAGUGUCAGUGGCGGCCAUCUUGUACCUAUUUUGCGCAGGGAUGCUGUGGCCCUCUAUUACCUUGCCCCUUAGGAUGCCACAUCUCAUUUUCAGGAUAGCAAAAUAAAUGACUUAAUUGCAGUGCUGCAAUUCAGUGUCCUCUCUUAUUUUGUGUAGCGUAGAUUCUCUUUGGGGAAUAAUGAGCACGAGGCGACCAGACUGGUUUCGCUCUCUGAAGUUUGUGCCAGAAACGCACAUCCUCGUUAGACUGCUCCACUGGUACUGAGAACUGAGAGUUCCCAGCAUCGCCCUUUGUGAGCCAUUGUGUUUGCAUCACUCUCCAGCCCCUAAACCUUCAAGUGUAUAAUUGAGUGGCUACAGAAUAUUUUCAUUAAGUCAGAAGUAUGUGUCCGGACAGAGUGAACGUCUCUGUACUCAGCCUAAUGUACUUCAGAGAACUCUGCUACGGGGGAAUUGAAUUGAAGGUCUUAAAGGGUCCACUUUGAAAUAGAUCAGUACCCGCUUACACCCCCCCCCCACCCCACCACUCACCCUGGAUAUGAGAGGUGCGGGCAUACAUUUCAAAAUGGACAGCGAAAGAAAUUAUUGAGUUUUCGUCAUUUUGAUCUGAGUAUUGAGAGGGGAUAAAAAGGCACAGUCCAAAGCGCAUCAGAAAAAAGGAGCUUACAUUUCCUAUAAUAUUAAACCGAAGUCAGCCUUUGAUCUUUUAAUCCUGCGCUCAUAAGGUUGUGAGAUAAGCAGGCAUGACUAACGUCUCUUUCUAAUAGUGAAGAAAGAGCAGAGCCCACAUAAUGAGCUCUUUUACCCCUUUUGAAGACAAAUUGGACUGAAAUUCCAUAUUUAAUGGAUCUUACUUUCAAUAGAAGUCUGUUUAAAGUCAAAGAGAGAUGGUCGGCCUUGUUUUUUUUCUCUCAGCCUCUCUUAUAUGUCUAUCUCCGCUUUGCUGCAAUCUUUGUGGGUUCAUCCUUGUUUCUUUAUUUAGCCAACACUUUGCCCGACUUGCCCGACUUUGCCCGACUUGAUUUGUGUGUAUGAGUGGAACUAAAAUCAAACUUAUCAAACAAAUUUACAGCCACAUGGAGUAAAACCAAGAAAUACAAUGUGUGCCAACAUUUAACAUGUUCAGCCAUAGAGGCCAUGUGACAAAGCAAUGCUCCAUUCACACAAUACAAGAACAAUCUGUAAGCUUUGUUGGUACAGGAAGCGGGGAAAAACAGCAAAAAACUAUCCGGAUCCGGAAAACGGAUGUUUUUACAAAUUUGACUGUGCACAGAUUAAACAAAUGAGAUGUAAUGCAUGAUUGUUUUUUGAGUUUUUAUUCUGCUAUAUGCCACUAAUCAUUAACUCCAUGUGCUGUAUAUACUGUGCAUGGACAUGUGCGUGGUAUCCACCUUCCCACAUAACCGUUGGCAAGAAUAUA